AGUGAACGCUGGCGGUAGGCCUAACACAUGCAAGUCGAACGGCAGCACAGUAAGAGCUUGCUCUUACGGGUGGCGAGUGGCGGACGGGUGAGGAAUACAUCGGAAUCUACUUUUUCGUGGGGGAUAACGUAGGGAAACUUACGCUAAUACCGCAUACGACCUACGAGUGAAAGCAGGGGAUCUUCGGACCUUGCGCGAUUGAAUGAGCCGAUGUCGGAUUAGCUAGUUGACGGGGUAAAGGCCCACCAAGGCGACGAUCCGUAGCUGGUCUGAGAGGAUGAUCAGCCACACUGGAACUGAGACACGGUCCAGACUCCUACGGGAGGCAGCAGUGGGGAAUAUUGGACAAUGGGCGCAAGCCUGAUCCAGCCAUACCGCGUGGGUGAAGAAGGCCUUCGGGUUGUAAAGCCCUUUUGUUGGGAAAGAAAAGCAGCAGGUUAAUACCCCGCUGUUCUGACGGUACCCAAAGAAUAAGCACCGGCUAACUUCGUG
rnacentral:rRNA from 1 species